rnacentral:rRNA from 1 species
AUANAAGNCAANANGACCGAACGCGAUCCUUGUUAGGGGACCUCGGAGAGCCGGGACUCGAGGAAUCGCCGGGGUGCACCGAGGAAGGUGGGGAUGACGUCAAAUCAUCAUGCCCCUUACGUCUAGGGCUGCAAACAUGCUACAAUGGCCGGUACAAAGGGCUGCUAUCCCGCGAGGGUGAGCGAAUCCCAGAAAGCCGGUCUCAGUUCGGAUNGGAGUCUGCAACUUGACUCCAUGAAGUCGGAGUCGCUAGUAAUCCCGGAUCAGCACUGCCGGGGUGAAUACGUACCCGGGCCUNGUACACACCGCCCGUCACACCACGAAAGUGGGUAACACCCGAAGUCAGUGGCUUUUUUCAAGGAGGGAGCUGCCGAAGGUGGGAUCAGCGAUUGGGGUGAAGUCGUAACAUGGUAGCCGUANCGGAAGGUGCGGCUGGAUCACCUCCAUUUCUAAGGAGUCUAUGUCAGCCAUUCCGGNUUGGCAGAUACNCAGUCGAUGCACGCACUACUCGGCUUCUCGAGCUCGUUGGUUGUCGUACGACUNGUCCUCCAGCCGCCGGGUGACNGAAGUCGGACUCUUCUGUUGCGUGUGACGGAGCGAUGCUCAGCGACNGUCGUCGCUCAUGACCCCGUGGGCUCUGGCCGCGGGUCCUCUGUCGGUACGGCUCGACCAUGAGAAUCCAUAGCGAGCACGAGCAUCUUGAUUCUCANGCUACAAGAGCCACGGUGGAUGCCUGCGCUGAUGCGAUGAGGACUGGUGCGCAAAGCCGGACGCGACAGCUGUCUGAUGAUGGAACGAUAAGUCGGCCGUG